rnacentral:rRNA from 1 species
AUACGGAGGGUGCGAGCGUUGUUCGGAAUGAUUGGGCGUAAAGAGCAUGUAGGCGGUCUGUUAAGUCUGGUGUGAAAGCCCGGGGCUCAACACCGGAAGUGCAUUGGAUACUGGCAGACUUGAGUAUGGGAGAGGAAAGCGGAAUUCCGAGUGUAGGAGUGAAAUCCGUAGAUAUUCGGAGGAACACCAGUGGCGAAGGCGGCUUUCUGGACCAAUACAGACGCUGAGAUGCGAAAGCGUGGGGAGCGAACAGGAUUAGAAACCCGGGUAGUCC